rnacentral:rRNA from 1 species
UAGGGAAUCUUCCACAAUGGACGCAAGUCUGAUGGAGCAACGCCGCGUGAGUGAAGAAGGUUUUCGGAUCGUAAAGCUCUGUUGUUGGUGAAGAAGGAUAGAGGCAGUAACUGGUCUUUAUUUGACGGUAAUCAACCAGAAAGUCACGGCUAACUACGUGCCAUCAGCCGCGGUAAUACGUAGUUUGCAAGCGUUGUUCGGAUUUAUUGGGCGUAAAGCGAGCGCAGGCGGAAUGAUGAGUCUGAUGUGAAAGCCAACGGCUCAACCGUGGAACUGCGUCGGAAACUGUCAUUCUUGAGUGCAGAAGAGGAGAGGGGAAUUCCAUGUGUAGCGGUGGAAUGCGUAGAUAUAUGGAAGAACACCAGUGGCGAAGGCGGCUCUCUGGUCUGCAACUGACGCUGAGGUUCGAAAGAAUGGGUAGCGAACAGG